CCUACGGGUGGCAGCAGUGAGGAAUAUUGGUCAAUGGGCGCGAGCCUGAACCAGCCAAGUCGCGUGAAGGAUGAAGGUUCUAUGGGUCGUAAACCUCUUUUAUAAAGGAAUAAAAUGUGGGACGUGUCCUAUUUUGUAUGUACCUUAUGAAUAAGGAUCGGCUAACUCCGUGCCAGCAGCCGCGGUAAUACGGAGGAUCCGAGCGUUAUCCGGAUUUAUUGGGUUUAAAGGGGGCGUAGACGGGUUUUUAAGUCAGCGGUGAAAGUUUGUGGCUCAACCAUAGAAUUGCCGUUGAAACUGGGGGGCUUGAGUACGUUUGAGGCAGGCGGAAUGCGUGGUGUAGCGGUGAAAUGCUUAGAUAUCACGCAGAACCCCGAUUGCGAAGGCAGCUUGCUAAGCAAUGACUGACGUUGAUGCACGAAAGCGUGGGGAUCAAACAGGAUUAGAUACCCGAGUAGUC
rnacentral:rRNA from 1 species